rnacentral:lncRNA from 1 species
AGUCAUUGUCUUCAGUUGUGUACCCAAGGUGAGCCAGCUAGGCUCCAGAGGAGAGUUCUGCAGACACACAGAUAGCCCUGGUUAAAAUCAGUGGUUCACAAAACAGAACAAUAUACCAGGAGCUGGAGUAUGGUGAGCAGUUACAGAAAGAAACCACUCAAAGAAAGCUGCAUCACAAAACUCCAUCUCAGGGUGGGAGCCAGUUCUGGGAAGCUGCAGGACACUAGCUCACCAGGUGAGGGAGUCCCCUUUUCAGGUGAUCUAAGCCUCUUAAGGAAGCUCAGCUGUUUUUUUGUUUCUUCUAGUUUGGCUGAUCUCUGAGUCUGCUAGUCUUAUUUCUGCUUUUUUCCAGGUACCUGGGCUUGUCUGAGAGUUACUUUUAGUGUGUGUGUGUGUGUGUUUGGAGCGGGAGGGACCCAGUGAAUCUGGUCAGUUUCAGGAACUUCCUAAAGCUAGCUUGAGCUGCUUACUUCCGGUCUUAAUGAUCUUCCAUGCAGGACAGAAUGGGUCAAUCUGGAGGAUAUUUCUACAUAGCAAAGAGAAAGGGGGAAGAUGGAAGACAGCAAUAGGAGUGGAAAGAUAUGCUCUUACACAAACAUAGGCACAUACACAAAUAUACACACAAAUAUAUUAAAAAAUAUCACAAAGAAAACCACUUCUUUGUGUGCUAAUAAAAAUCAAUUAAAAACUUAAAAAUGAUUAUAUACGUACAUUUAUAUGUAUAUGUAUAUAUAUAUAUAUGAAUUGGGUUUUUUCUUUUUUGAGACUUUGCUUAUCUAUGUAUCCUGGCUUGGAUUUGCCUUUUAGGCCAGUCUGGCUUUGCACUUCCUGGGCACCUGCUUUUUCAUUCAUUUUUAACAUUAGCAUAUAAAGUAAUGUGUUUCAUUAUCAUUUUCAAUUUAGACUCGCAGAGCAUUUCCUGCUCUGAGGACGCCACAGUGGGGAAGGGGUUUGCCUGUCGAUAUAAGAAGUAUAAGAAGCCAUAUUUUAUAGCUUUAAGGCUGUAUGAGAUUCCUUCUCAAUUUAUAGUGAGAUCUUCACACAUCUAUUCUAAAUGCAAGUUCAAAUGGAAAUGCUUCACGGCUCCCAGCCAGCGGAAGAGAGAGGGAAAGGAAGGAUAUAAUAAUUUAAGCCUGGUUCUAUGCUGACAGAUUCGAGGCAAUAGGCACACAGGCAGCUUUACCUUUCAGGGCCAGGCAGCUUCCAGGUUUAGGGGUGCUUAUGAAAAUGAGGAUUUGCGAGUGCUGAGUGGCUAUCUUGACUUUCGAGUAAGAGGGCAGGACAUAUUGAUGGCUCAUUCAAGGAUGCUCCACAGCGCUCCUGAUUUGUCAUUGUGAGACAAUCAGGUUCUUUCUUUUCUGGUGGUUUGUCUACUGCUAUGCUUUGUUUCAUUUCUGUUGUUCUCGUGCAAUGUUCUAAAAUUCUGAGACUGUCUGAAGGCAAGAUGAAGAUUCAGGGAAAAUUGGGGGAAUAAGAAAAGAGAGAGGAGAGCCACGUAAGGAGGCAUCUGGUUGAUGCCUCUCACCAGGAACUGCUCAAGAAUUCCAGCUUAAGACCAUUGACCCUUUCCAGGCACACAGCUGAAAACUCCCAGGAACCACACAAGAAACCCACUUAUUUACGGGCAAAGGAGCUGUGUUAACCCUCUUGGGCAACCUUAUUUGUUUCUGGUUUCAUCCGAUUAUAUUUCCAUGCAAAGCACCUGUGAUGGUUUGUAUAUCCUUGGACCAGGGAGUGGCACCAUCUGAAGGUGUGGCCUUGUUGGAAUAGGUGUGACCUGGUUGGAAUGGGUGUGUCACUGUGGGUGUGGGUAUAAGAUCCUCACCUUAGUUACCUGGAAGUCGGUCUUCCAAUAGCAGCCUUUGGAUGAAGACAUAGAACUCUCGGCUCCUCCUGCACUAUGCCUGCCUGGAUACUGCCAUGCUCCCACCUUGAUGAUAAUAGACUGAACCUCUGAACCUGUAAGCCAGCCCCAAUUAAAUGUUGUUUUUUUAUAAGACUUGCCUUGGUCAUGGUGUCUGUUCACAGCAGUAAAACCCUAACUAAGACAACACCUUUGGAGUUGCCUUCUCUAUCAGUCACUCUUACCAAAGGGAGAGGGGUGGGGGUUUCUUGGCACCAAUAUAAAAUGUAACUUGAGAGCCACCAACACGGUCUACAUAGCUAAUGCUCAGGCAAUUACUGGCCUCCUCUCCCUUGAGAAGUACUUGGUACUGCUUACGUCACCCCAUGUGCCUUUGGGAAGCACGUUGCCCCGCUUUGUAUGUCAAACUUUAUUCCGAGAGCCCCUCUUUUGUUGAGCCCUUCUGUAUAACCCUGGAUUAAAAUAUCUCUAAUAAAAUCCUCAACUUAUUUCC